GAAGCAGAUGACGAUAAAACAGACAGGGACAUCUGUACCUUUGUAAAUUGGGUUGAUGACAAGUCUUUGGAAUCUUUCUGAUGUUUC
rnacentral:snoRNA from 1 species